GCACUGCUGAAGAGUUUUACAAUAUGACGAAACGGUCGUCCAGUGC
rfam:Schistosoma curassoni strain Dakar, Senegal genome assembly, scaffold: SCTD_scaffold0004261